rnacentral:rRNA from 1 species
UAGUUGGUGAGGUAAUGGCUCACCAAGGCUAUGACGCAUAACUGGUCUGAGAGGAUGAUCAGUCACACUGGAACUGAGACACGGUCCAGACUCCUACGGGAGGCAGCAGUAGGGAGUAUUGCUCAAUGGGGGAAACCCUGAAGCAGCAACGCCGCGUGGAGGAUGACACUUUUCGGAGCGUAAACUCCUUUUCUUAGGGAAGAAAUUUGACGGUACCUAAGGAAUAAGCACCGGCUAACUCCGUGCCAGCAGCCGCGGUAAUACGGAGGGUGCAAGCGUUACUCGGAAUCACUGGGCGUAAAGGACGCGUAGGCGGAUUAUCAAGUCUUUUGUGAAAUCUAAUGGCUCAACCAUUAAACUGC